rnacentral:rRNA from 1 species
GAGCAAGCUACUAAGGGCGCGCGGUGGAUGCCUAGGUGGAAGCAGCCGAAGAAGGGCGUGGCAAGCUGCGAAAAGCUCCGGGGAGCCGCAAGCAGGCAGUGAUCCGGAGGUACCCGAAUGGGGCAACCCGAUCCCGGUGAUGCGGGAUCAUCCCGGGCCCAAUUGAUAAGCCUGGGAAGGUAAGCGGGGGAACUGAAACAUCUCAGUACCCCGAGGAGCGGAAAGCAAGCGCGACUCCCCGAGUAGCGGCGAGCGAAAAGGGACGAGCCCAAACCGUCGUCACGUGACAGCCCGCGGGCGUUGUGGCGGCGGGGUCGCGGGGGUAUGCUGGGCGGGGCUGCGGACCCGCCGGGGAGUAAGAAAACCCGUGCAUGAGCCGAAUGCGCCUGGAACGGCGAGCCACAGCGGGUGACAGCCCUGUAGGCGAACGGCGCGGGACUCCCUGAGCGUGCAACCCAAGUACCACGGGACACGAGAAAUCCUGUGGGAAUCCGGGAGGACCAUCUCCUAAGGCUAAGUACUGCUUCCGACCGAUAGCGGACUAGUACCGUGAGGGAAAGGUGAAAAGCACCCCGGGAGGGGAGUGAAAGAGAACCUGAAACCGCGUGCUUACAAGCGGUCGGAGUCCAGGCCCUGGAUUGCCGCAAGGCGGUGUGGGGCGGGAUGACGGCGUGCCUAUUGCAGAAUGAACCGGCGAGUUACUGUUGGCAGCGAGGUUAAGGCGAAGAGCCGGAGCCGCAGCGAAAGCGAGUCCGCAAGGGCGCCAUAGUUGCCGGCAGUAGACCCGAAACCAGGUGAGCUACCUAUGGGCAGGGUGAAGCCUCGAUAGUCUCGGGGUGGAGGCCCGCACCGGUGUCGGUUGAAGACGGCUCGGAUGACCUGUGGGUAGGGGUGAAAUGCCAAUCGAACCUGGAGAUAGCUGGUUCUCCCCGAAAUAGCUUUAGGGCUAGCCUUGGGUGAUGCGUGGCGGAGGUAGAGCACUGAAUGGGCUAGGGACGCUAACGCGUUACCGCACCCAAUCAAACUCCGAAUGCCGCCAUGUCAAACCCGGGAGUCAGACUGCGGGGGCUAAGCUUCGUAGUCGAGAGGAGAAGAGUCCAGACCGCCGGCUAAGGUCCCCAAAUCGAGCUCAGUGGGCAAGGAGGUGGGACUGCUCAAACAACCAGGAGGUUGGCUUAGAAGCAGCCAUCCUUUAAACAACGAGUAACAUCGGACUGGUCGAGUGGUUCUGCGCCGAGAAUCCAACGGGGCUAAGCUCGAUACCGAAGCCGCGGGGAGCGCCGCGAGCGAUGCUUGCGGGCUCCGGUAGGGGAGCGUUGCGCAGUAGGUUGAAGCUCCGGCGCGAGCCGGGGUGGACGAGGCGCAAGUGAGAAUGCCGGUAUGAGUAGCGAAAAUUCCGGUGAGAAUCCGGGACGCCGAAAACCUAAGGUUUCUUAGGGAAGGUUCGUCCUCCUAAGUUUAGCCGGUCCUAAGCCGAGGCGAGAUAGCGCAGGCGAUGGACAGCCGGUUGAUAUUCCGGCGCCACCGAUGGGCGGCAAAGACGCGAGGGGGUGACGCCGUGGAGUGAGCCAGCGCACGGAGGGAUGUGUGCGUUCAAGCCCGCAGGGAGGGCGCAGGGAAAUCCGCGCCAAUGACUCCCGAGGGGUGAUGAGGAGGAAAGGUUUCGUCCGGACUGAACUGGCGUGAUCCGCGGCCGGGAAAAACCUCUAGCGAGUUCAUCGGUGACCGUACCGCAAACCGACACAGGUAGGUGGGCAGAGGAUGCCAAGGCGCGCGAGAGAACCCUCGUUAAGGAACUCGGCAAAAUGACCCCGUAACUUUGGGAGAAGGGGUGCCUUCGGGCUUGAAGGGACGGUGCUUCGGCGCCGCUCCCGGAGGGCCUGGGGGUCGCAGUGAACAGGCCCAAGCGACUGUUUACCAAAAACACAGGUCUCUGCAAAGCCGAAAGGCGAUGUAUAGGGGCUGACGCCUGCCCAAUGCCGGGAUGUUAAGGGGAGGGGUUAGCCUGGCUUCGGCCGGGCGACGCUUCGAACCGAAGCACCGGUGAAUGGCGGCUGUAACUAUAACAGUCCUAAGGUAGCGAAAUUCCUUGUCGGGUAAGUUCCGACCCGCACGAACGGCGUAACGACUUGGGCGCUGUCUCAACGAGGGACUCGGCGAAAUUGUAGUAUCGGCGAAGAUGCCGGUUACCCACGACUGGACGGAAAGACCCCGUGGAGCUUUACUACAGCUUGGUAUUGGAGCGUGGGAUCUCCUGUAGAGGAUAGGUGGGAGCCUGUGAAAUCCCGACGCUAGUUGGGAUGGAGGCAACCUUGGAAUACCACCCUUGAGGUCUCGGGCUUCUAACCGCGGCCCCGGUGAGGGGCGGCGGGAGAGUAUCAGGCGGGUAGUUUGACUGGGGCGGUCGCCUCCCAAAAGGUAACGGAGGCGUCCAAAGGUUCCCUCAGUGCGGAUGGAAAUCGCACGCAGAGUAUAAGGGCAUAAGGGAGCUUGACUGCGAGACGGACCUGUCGAGCAGGGACGAAAGUCGGGCCUAGUGAUCCGGCAGUGGCGAAUGGAAGCGCUGUCGCUCAACGGAUAAAAGCUACCCCGGGGAUAACAGGCUUAUCUUCCCCAAGAGUUCACAUCGACGGGAGGGUUUGGCACCUCGAUGUCGGCUCGUCGCAUCCUGGGGCCGGAUAAGGUCCCAAGGGUUGGGCUGUUCGCCCAUUAAAGCGGCACGCGAGCUGGGUUCAGAACGUCGUGAGACAGUUCGGUCCCUAUCCGUCGUGGGCGUAAGAAGUUUGCGGGGAGCUGCCGCCAGUAUGAGAAGACCGCGGUGGACGGACCCCUGGUGUACCAGUUGUCCCGCCCGGGGCACACGCUGGGUAGCUAUGUCCGGCCGGGAUAAGCGCUGAAAGCAUCUAAGCGCGAAGCCCUCCCCAAGAUGAGACUUCUCACCCGUAAGGGGUAAGGCCGCAGGAAGAGUACCUGCUUGAUAGGCUGGGGGUGUACGGCGGGCAACCGCCUGAGCUGACCAGUACUAAUCGGCCGAGGGCUUGACCCC